rnacentral:rRNA from 1 species
UACAGAGGUGGCAAGCGUUGUUCGGAAUUACUGGGCGUAAAGGGCGCGUAGGCGGCCUUCUAAGUCAGACGUGAAAUCCCCCGGCUUAACCUGGGAACUGCGUCUGAUACUGGGAGGCUUGAGUAUGGGAGAGGGAUGUAGAAUUCCAGGUGUAGCGGUGAAAUGCGUAGAUAUCUGGAGGAAUACCGGUGGCGAAGGCGGCAUCCUGGACCAUAACUGACGCUGAGGCGCGAAAGCUAGGGGAGCAAACGGGAUUAGAAACCCCCGUAGUCC